rnacentral:misc_RNA from 1 species
AACGCACGAGACCUGCGGACCUGCGGAGGGAUCAUUAAUGAGGAACUGCCCCUCGCGGGUAGAUCUCCCACCCUUUGUAAACUUACCUUUGUUGCUUUGGCAGGCCCGUCUCCGGACCGCCGGCUUCGGCUGGCCAGUGCCUGCCAGAGGAUUCUAAAACUCUGUCUGUCAGUGUUGUCUGAGUCUAUAUACAAUCGUUAAAACUUUCAACAACGGAUCUCUAGAUCGGAAGAGCACACG